CUGGCGGCAUGCCUAAGACAUGCAAGUCGUACGAAGUGGCCCAUUGAUGAUUGAGUGCUUGCACAAGAUUUGAUUUGGAUUCCCACUUAGUGGCGCAAGGGUGAGUAACGCGUAGGUUAUCUGCCUUCGAGUUUGGAAUAACAAUUAGAAAUGAUUGCUAAUGCCGGAUUAUAUUUAAGAUGAUACGUUGUCUUAAAUUAAAAGGAGCCUUUAAAGCUUCGCUUGAAGAUGGGCCCGCAUCUGAUUAGCUAGUUGGUGAGAUAACAGCCCACCAAGGCGACGAUCAGUAGCCGACCUGAGAGGGUGAUCGGCCACAUUGGGACUGAGACACGGCCCAAACUCCUACGGGAGGCAGCAGUGGGGAAUAUUGCACAAUGGGGGAAACCCUGAUGCAGCAACGCCGCGUGAAGGAAGACGGUUUUCGGAUUGUAAACUUCUAUCAAUAGGGACGAAGAAAGUGACGGUACCUAAAUAAGAAGCCCCGGCUAACUACGUG
rnacentral:rRNA from 1 species